rnacentral:rRNA from 1 species
UACGUAGGGGGCAAGCGUUGUCCGGAUUUAUUGGGCGUAAAGAGCGUGUAGGCGGUCAGGUAGGUCGGUUGUGAAAACUGGAGGCUCAACCUUCAGAGGUCGACCGAAACCCCCUGGCUAGAGUCCGGGAGAGGAGAGUGGAGUUCCUGGUGUAGCGGUGAAAUGCGCAGAUAUCAGGAAGAACACCCGUGGCGAAAGCGGCUCUCUGGAACGGUACUGACGCUGAGACGCGAAAGCGUGGGGAGCGAACAGG